GGUUAAGCGACUAAGCGUACACGGUGGAUGCCCUGGCAGUCAGAGGCGAUGAAGGACGUGCUAAUCUGCGAUAAGCGUCGGUAAGGUGAUAUGAACCGUUAUAACCGGCGAUUUCCGAAUGGGGAAACCCAGUGUGUUUCGACACACUAUCAUUAACUGAAUCCAUAGGUUAAUGAGGCGAACCGGGGGAACUGAAACAUCUAAGUACCCCGAGGAAAAGAAAUCAACCGAGAUUCCCCCAGUAGCGGCGAGCGAACGGGGAGCAGCCCAGAGCCUGAAUCAGUGUGUGUGUUAGUGGAAGCGUCUGGAAAGGCGCGCGAUACAGGGUGACAGCCCCGUACACAAAAAUGCACAUGCUGUGAGCUCGAUGAGUAGGGCGGGACACGUGGUAUCCUGUCUGAAUAUGGGGGGACCAUCCUCCAAGGCUAAAUACUCCUGACUGACCGAUAGUGAACCAGUACCGUGAGGGAAAGGCGAAAAGAACCCCGGCGAGGGGAGUGAAAAAGAACCUGAAACCGUGUACGUACAAGCAGUGGGAGCACGCUUAGGCGUGUGACUGCGUACCUUUUGUAUAAUGGGUCAGCGACUUAUAUUCUGUAGCAAGGUUAACCGAAUAGGGGAGCCGAAGGGAAACCGAGUCUUAACUGGGCGUUAAGUUGCAGGGUAUAGACCCGAAACCCGGUGAUCUAGCCAUGGGCAGGUUGAAGGUUGGGUAACACUAACUGGAGGACCGAACCGACUAAUGUUGAAAAAUUAGCGGAUGACUUGUGGCUGGGGGUGAAAGGCCAAUCAAACCGGGAGAUAGCUGGUUCUCCCCGAAAGCUAUUUAGGUAGCGCCUCGUGAAUUCAUCUCCGGGGGUAGAGCACUGUUUCGGCAAGGGGGUCAUCCCGACUUACCAACCCGAUGCAAACUGCGAAUACCGGAGAAUGUUAUCACGGGAGACACACGGCGGGUGCUAACGUCCGUCGUGAAGAGGGAAACAACCCAGACCGCCAGCUAAGGUCCCAAAGUCAUGGUUAAGUGGGAAACGAUGUGGGAAGGCCCAGACAGCCAGGAUGUUGGCUUAGAAGCAGCCAUCAUUUAAAGAAAGCGUAAUAGCUCACUGGUCGAGUCGGCCUGCGCGGAAGAUGUAACGGGGCUAAACCAUGCACCGAAGCUGCGGCAGCGACGCUGAUGCGUUGUUGGGUA
rnacentral:rRNA from 1 species